AGAACGAACGCUGGCGGCAUGCCUAACACAUGCAAGUCGAACGAGACCCCAACUUCGGUUGGACGUCUAGUGGCGCACGGGUGCGUAACGCGUGGGAAUCUGCCCUUCGGUUCGGAAUAACUCGGAGAAAUCCGUGCUAAUACCGGAUAAUGACGUAAGUCCAAAGAUUUAUCGCCGAGGGAUGAGCCCGCGUAGGAUUAGCUUGUUGGUGAGGUAAAGGCUCACCAAGGCGACGAUCCUUAGCUGGUCUGAGAGGAUGAUCAGCCACACUGGGACUGAGACACGGCCCAGACUCCUACGGGAGGCAGCAGUGGGAAUAUGGACAAUGGGCGAAAGCCUGAUCCAGCAAUGCCGCGUGAGUGAUGAAGCCUUAGGGUGUAAAGCUCUUUUACCCGGGAUGAUAAUGACAGUACCGGAGAAUAAGCUCCGGCUAACUCCGUGCCAGUAGCCGC
rnacentral:rRNA from 1 species